UUUAUACAGGAAGUACCAGUACUGAGUCAAUGUGCAGGGGUACGAGGUAAUAACAUGGCUUUAUACACACUGUACCAGUACUGAGUCAAUGUGCAGGGGUACGAGGUAAUAACAUGGCUUUAUACAGGAAGUACCAGUACUGAGUCAAUGUGCAGGGGUACGAGGUAAUAACAUGGCUUUAUACACACUGUACCAGUACUGAGUCAAUGUGCAGGGGUACGAGGUAAUAACAUGGCUUUAUACACACUGUACCAGUACUGAGUCAAUGUGCAGGGGUACGAGGUAAUAACAUGGCUUUAUACACACUGUACCAGUACUGAGUCAAUGUGCAGGGGUACGAGGUAAUAACAUGGCUUUAUACACACUGUACCAGUACUGAGUCAAUGUGCAGGGGUACGAGGUAAUAACAUGGCUUUAUACACACUGUACCAGUACUGAGUCAAUGUGCAGGGGUACGAGGUAACAACAUGGCUUUAUACAGGAAGUAUCACUUCUAAGUUGAUGCACAGGGGUACGAGGUAAUUGAGGUAGAUAUGAACAUAUAACUAGGAUUAAGGCAUUAGGAUAGAUAAUAACCAGUAGAUAGUAGAGUUGAUAACCAAACCGUAUAAUUGCCUCGAAACUGAACCGAAACUAAUUUUACACAUAUAAACAAAAUGAAAUAAAUGAAGGGGAUGAUGACGAUGGGGGAGAAAGGGUGAGUUGAUGCCUCAGGGGAAGCAAACAAUGCAUAAUUAUCACUAAUUGUGAAGGAAAAACAUGGUGUGCCAUUCUAUUAUAAUGAUCCAUUGACAUUAUAAUCUCUACAUGCUAUGUACCCUCUAUCAGACCACCAAAUACAGUCUUAUAGUCGUAUGGUUUUGGUGGUGCACACGCCCCCCACCAGACGAAACCUUGAGACAGGAGAGAAGAACGGACUGUUUUUGUCCGAUUAUCAGCACAACAUGUCAUCACUGAGAGCGCAGGCUCAAGCAAAAUCAGCAACGCACAAGCUUUCGUUGUUUAUGCUCCAACAGAUAACGGACUAUUUUUGACUGCGGUCAUAGCGACACGCUUGUAAUGAUGUUUAGGCUACUGAUGUGUUUUAUCAUUUGACUGGGCGUCUUGCUGACCGCGGGUCUUUGUGUGUCGGUGCGUUUUGUUUAGUGUCGUUAUAGAAGGAAGCUGUUGUGUUAUAAAAGGAAGCAGUUGUAGCGUUCCAACACAAACCCUUUUCUCUUUCACAGUU